rnacentral:rRNA from 1 species
CGUCCCGCCGGCGACCGGCGCACGGGUGAGUAACACGUAUGCAACCUGGCCGCCACAGGGGGAUAACCCGCGGAAACGCGGCCUAAUACCCCGUGACGCCACCGGAGGGCAUCCUCCGGUGGCCAAAGGAGCGAUCCGGUGGCGGAUGGGCAUGCGGCGCAUUAGCUAGACGGCGGGGUGACGGCCCACCGUGGCGACGAUGCGUAGGGGUUCUGAGAGGAAGGCCCCCCACAUUGGAACUGAGACACGGUCCAAACUCCUACGGGAGGCAGCAG